CCCCUCUCAGGAUGGCACCUGGAGAGGUUCCAAUACUCUACCAGUCUCGGCUAUGGGAGGGAGAGUCAAGCAGAGGCAUGCCCAUUCCAUUCCUAGCUUGAGCAGUGGCUAGUGAGCAGAAGGCAAUCUGCUACAAGU